UGAGAAUGGCAGAUGAAGUUUAUAUAAUGGGAAAAGAUUAUUUAAUGGCCCUACAAAAAAUUUCAAAUAAAUGAAAAAAAAAUGAGAAUAUUCAUAAAACAAUUUCACAUCCCAAGCUCACAUUUCACUCUGAAAAAUAAAUAUAUCCUAUAAUUUCAUAUGUUCUUAAGAGCUCCGAUUACCCACGGUACUUUGAGGAGACAAAUCCUAUAAUUUCAUAUGUUCUUAGGAGCUCCGAUUACCUACGGUACUUUGAGGAGACAAAUUUAGGCAAAAUUUACAAGAAAUUAAGUAUGAAAUAGGGAAUGAAUUUGUAAGUAAACUUUUGUAUGGAACAAGAACCCAGAAUUUAUAACAGACAUCUGAAUUCAAUCACAUAAGCAAUUCAGUUUCAAAUUCUGCAAUAUGCAAUGUGCUUGAGAUGGACUUUCUUCCACCUUUUUCUUGUCUUUCCAUGUAGAUUAAGAACAUAUUCGUAUUUGACAUUCAUGUUCGAAUCACAGUAAUAUAGCUCUUUAAUGUUUGAAGAAGAAUUUAUUGGCACCAGCAUGGCGUUCAGAUGGUGGGUGGCAGUUGUUAUUGACCUCUGCUUGUUGCAACGAAAACGAAAUCGAUGUUCGAAUCAUUCACUAGUAUGAAGAGUAUGAACAAUGUAAGAUCAUCCUCCAUGUUGCUUUCACAAUCCAUAAUCUUGAUGAACUUGUUAACAGAAACAUUGCUGAAGCCAGUGGAAUACCGGUUGAAAUUUUCAGGGUGGAUAAUCUUGAAGAAACCAAGCUUCUAUGUUAGCUCCAAUGAGAACCCUAAAUAACCAGCAACAAGACACUCAAUUUGCAAUACAAGUACACAUACCUCCGAUCUACAUUACUUCAAUUCUUCACUCUUCUUAUUAUCUGUGUCCGACAUCUGAUGUAUAUCUGGAUAUGAGUAUGAGAAUAUAAUCCACCAAGCAUUCUCUAAAUACACGGAAAUCUUAAAAAAAAAAAAAAAGAGAGAGCAUAUCCGUGUCAGAUGCAUUCUUGUAUUCACACCGGAGUCUGAAUAAUAUAGGUAGUACGAACAUGUAAGCGUUUGAAAGAGAAAUGACCUAUGGGGUAAAGUUCUUCAUUCUCUUCCAACCUAAAAGGGAAAAUUGCACAAGUCAACCUUCCUAUUAUCAUUUAAAUUCAAAAGAAAAACAUACUAAUAUCAAAAUUCACAUGAAGCAGAGGAUAAUGUAAAGAGUUAACAAAGGGAUGAUUGAAUUACGUACCUUAAGAUCAUCCUUGAAGUAGUGUACUUCAAGAUGAUUGAAUUAAUGUUCAAAAACAUCAGUCUUGAAAUAAAAUUAUUCCUGCCAUUUCAAGAUUCAUUAAAACCUUGAACUUUCAUGGAAUCUAGAGAGCUUCAAACUGUUGAGCAUGGACUGCAAUGCAACAGUCAACCAUGAUGCAGACCAACAUAGCAGACCAGCAAUCGAACAGGACCAGAAGCAGCUCUUUUAUUUUGUUUAUUUGUAAUCUUUUUGUAAAG
rnacentral:lncRNA from 1 species